rnacentral:rRNA from 1 species
ACUCCUACGGGAGGCAGCAGUGGGGAAUAUUGCACAAUGGGCGCAAGCCUGAUGCAGCCAUGCCGCGUGUAUGAAGAAGGCCUUCGGGUUGUAAAGUACUUUCAGCAGUGAGGAAGGUGGGUAUGUUAAUAGCAUAUUCAUUUGACGUUAGCUGCAGAAGAAGCACCGGCUAACUCCGUGCCAGCAGCCGCGGUAAUACGGAGGGUGCGAGCGUUAAUCGGAAUUACUGGGCGUAAAGCGCAUGCAGGUGGUUUGUUAAGUCAGAUGUGAAAGCCCGGGGCUCAACCUCGGAAUUGCAUUUGAAACUGGCAAACUAGAGUACUGUAGAGGGGGGUAGAAUUUCAGGUGUAGCGGUGAAAUGCGUAGAGAUCUGAAGGAAUACCGGUGGCGAAGGCGGCCCCCUGGACAGAUACUGACACUCAGAUGCGAAAGCGUGGGGAGCAAACAGGAUUAGAUACCCUGGUAGGCUGUGC